rnacentral:rRNA from 1 species
GGGACAGCCUCGGGAAACCGUGGGUAAUACCGGAUACUCCGGGACGGCCGCAUGGCCGGCCCGGGAAAGCCCAGACGGGAGGGGAUGGGCCCGCGGCCUGUUAGCUAGUCGGCGGGGUAACGGCCCACCGAGGCGAUUAUGGGUAGCCGGGUUGAGAGACCGACCGGCCAGAUUGGGACUGAGACACGGCCCAGACUCCUACGGGAGGCAGCAGUGGGGAAUCUUGCGCAAUGGGCGGAAGCCUGACGCAGCGACGCCGCGUGCGGGACGAAGGCCUUCGGGUCGUAAACCGCUUUCAGCAGGGACGAGGCCCUCACGGUGACGGUACCUGCAGAAGAAGCCCCGGCUAACUACGUGCCAGCAGCCGCGGUAAUACGUAGGGGGCGAGCGUUAUCCGGAUUCAUUGGGCGUAAAGCGCGCGUAGGCGGCCUGUUAGGUCGGGGGUCAAAUACCGGGGCUCAACCCCGGUCCGCCCCCGAUACCGGCAGGCUUGAGUCUGGUAGGGGAAGGCGGAAUUCCCAGUGUAGCGGUGGAAUGCGCAGAUAUUGGGAAGAACACCGGCGGCGAAGGCGGCCUUCUGGGCCACGACUGACGCUGAGGCGCGAAAGCUAGGGGAGCGAACAGGAUUAGAUACCCUGGUAGUCCUAGCCGUAAACGAUGGAAGCUAGGUGUGGGGG